CAGUAGCCUCGGUAAUACGGAGGGGGCUAGCGUUGUUCGGAAUUACUGGGCGUAAAGCGCACGUAGGCGGCUUGGUAAGUUAGAGGUGAAAGCCCGGAGCUCAACUCCGGAAUUGCCUUUAAGACUGCCGAGCUAGUAGGUGAGAGAGGUAAGUGGAAUUCCGAGUGUAGAGGUGAAAUUCGUAGAUAUUCGGAGGAACACCAGUGGCGAAGGCGGCUCACUGGUCCAUUACUGACGCUGAGGUGCGAAAGCGUGGGGAGCAAGCAGGAUUAGAUACCCCCGUAGUCCCUGUCUCUUAUAC
rnacentral:rRNA from 1 species